ensembl:lncRNA
UGAAGACCCAGCGCAGCCAAAAAUAAAAUAAAUUAAUACAUAAAACGGUGUUUUAAAAAAGAAGGAAAUUAAGCUUUACGGAUAUUUAACAUGUGAUUGACAGUGGGCUAGGUGCACAAUGUAGAAAUGAAUAUGCGCACGUUUGGGCGCAUAAUCCAACAUUUUUUCUGGAAAAGAAGAAACUCUUUAGCCAGGAAGAUCAUCUUUGUGUGAAUAGAUAGCUCAUAAUGAUCAAGGAAAGGAAACGUGCUAAACUGGUGGAUUGAGGAGACUGUAUCUUGGACAGUGAGAUUUGUAAGUCACAGUGUGGGGAGGCUCCAGAGGCGACUUUCUUGGGACCCCACGAGUGAGGUGAGUCGAAAUGAGAUGAACAGGGUGUUUAGCCAAAAGAAGGGUGCAAAUGCCAUUCUGACUGCUGUGAGAUGAUAUCUGGUAGCACUGACACGUAUACACUACCAUGUGUAACAUAGGGAGCUAGUGGGAAGCUGCUGAUAACACCGGGAGGCCAGCUUAGUGCUCUGAUGACC